rnacentral:rRNA from 1 species
CAGUAGCCGCGGUAAUACGAAGGGUGCAAGCGUUAAUCGGAAUUACUGGGCGUAAAGCGUGCGUAGGCGGUGAGUUAAGUCUGCUGUGAAAUCCCCGGGCUCAACCUGGGAAUGGCAGUGGAUACUGGCUCGCUAGAGUGUGUCAGAGGAUGGUGGAAUUCCCGGUGUAGCGGUGAAAUGCGUAGAGAUCGGGAGGAACAUCGGUGGCGAAGGCGGCCAUCUGGGACAACACUGACGCUGAGGCACGAAAGCGUGGGGAGCAAACAGGAUUAGAUACCCGUGUAGUCCCUGUCUCUUAUAC